AACGCGAAGAACCUUACCUGGGUUAGACAAUGUCGGAAUAGUGUAGAGAUAUACUAGUGUAGCAAUACACCGGCAGUUCAGGUGCUGCAUGGCUGUCGUCAGCUCGUAUCGUGAGAUGUCGGGUUAAGUCCCUUAACGAGCGCAACCCCUAUCCCUAGUUGCCACCAUUCAGUUGGGCACUCUAUGGAGACCGCCGGCGUUAAGCCGGAGGAAGGCGGGGAUGACGUCAAGUCCUCAUGGCCCUUAUGUCCAGGGCUACACACGUGCUACAAUGGCAGGUACAAAGGGUUGCCAACCAGUAAUGGGGAGCUAAUCUCAGAAAGCCUGUCUCAGUUCGGAUUGAAGUCUGCAAUUCGACUUCAUGAAGCUGGAAUCGCUAGUAAUCGCGGAUCAGAACGCCGCGGUGAAUACGUUCCCGGGCCUUGUA
rnacentral:rRNA from 1 species